UCAAAUACUCAAAUCCCUAAGGAGCUUCCAUGAACAAUGGAAACCCACAGCAGCAAACCCCUCGGAAAAUACAUUUGGUCACAGGCUGGGGCGUUCAGUCCAUGACCCAGCGUUCUUAAUGCCAGCGCUGCCUUCGUGACCACAGGCGAUUUAGGGACUGCCCUUCUUGCAACUGCCGGGACCAAGCUGGCUGUCAGGGAGCUGCGAGGCCGAUGCUGUCAGCGCGCCAAGCCCCCCGGCAGGGGCACCCGGCGGCUCCGCGGAGAAGGGAGCAGCCUGGGCGCACAACUCCUGGAGGAGCCGGGCUGUCAGCGCUGCCUGCGCGGUGCCCCCGACGCCAGCCUGGGAGACGCUCCCGCCUCUUGACAGCUCCGCGCGAGCGGCUGCAGCAGCUCGGCAGGAGGAAGUUCCCGCGCCCCGCUCGGGCCGGUGCCAGAAGGUUCCUGAAGCCUGACGUGACACCGAGCGGCCCGAGCGGGGACCCCCGCGCAUGCGCCCCGCGCCCCUCACCGUUGCCGGGUGACUCGCCCUCCCCGCCGUCCUCAGCACCACCGGCAGGUUCCUCCGCCUCUUCCUACCCCGGGGGCCGGCGCGGGCCUCUCCUCGCCGCUCCGCUCUCCUCGCAGCCCUCCUCCGCCGGCCGCUGCCCGCGCCGUGUGCCGCGGCCGCCGCGCUGCCGGACCCGACGCCGUCCGUGCCCUCACAGCCGCUCCGAGCUCCCAGCCGCGAGCGGGGGGUCCCCGACGGCAGCGGCGGCGACGGGCGGAAGUGACGCGCUGACUGACAGCCUCAUCAACAACAAUAAAGAUACUGAAUCAGAACAAGCUGGCAAUUUUGUUGAUGAAACACGGGGGAGAGCGGACUCCAGCUGGCUCUUCAGCAGAUCCAUUGGCCAGUUGACAGGAAUAAAACUGCAAGAAACCUGACACAGAAAGCACAUGCGGUGAGAGGAGACAGACAGCAGAGGCAGGCAGGUUCUAUGACUGGUCAUCGAAGAGAAGAUCAGCAUCUCCCCUUGCCUUUAAGGGAAGCUGCAGGGUGUGAUGAGAUCCCCCCUCUGUCUCUUCAUCUCUGAGCUGAACAAAUGCCGUGAGCUAAUCUGCUCUUUGAAAAGCCAUUCAUAAGCACAAAUCACUAUUGCCUGUAUGUGUCACAGAAGAACUGGAGCCAUGUUUCCUUCAUGUAUCGUCAGUUCCCAUCAUGAACUAGUGUGGCUUGAGAAUAAAUAUUCUCUGAAGAAUUUAGCUUACAAUUAAGUCUACUUCCAGCAAGAGCCCUGCAUUACACCUCAUCAGAAAUUGAAGAAACUGAAAGAAAAAUAUCCUUAUCCCAACUGUGCUCACUGUUGUACAAGGCUUAGUAAAAACUGAGCUAAAAUACUCCAGAACAUAAAUCAUCUUUGCAAAGCCGUAGAAUGCUUGGAAGGUUGAUAGCCUGCCAUACAAUUCCUUACCUUCAUAUUAGGUUAUUAUCUUACUAGGAGGAAAUGGGAAUCUGACAUGUAGCAAAACAAGACAUCAUCUGUUGUAAUACCGUAUAUGCCAAACAGUUUUUCCUGGAAAUUAUCUGUAUAUCAGCAGAGUCAGCUUUUGGGUUUAAUUGUUCACCUACAAAUUAUUUGAUACAUUUUUCUGAACUUGGAAGUGCUCAAUUUUUGCCUUAAGUGGAUCCUAUUGAUAUCUUACAAAAAAUAUUGACAGCGAAUCCUUUCAACACCAAGGAAGAAUUAGCAAACCCUUUCCAACUGGAUGCUCUGCGAAGAGCUUUCCUUUCUUGCAUAUUUCAUCUACAAACAGACAUGUCCCCAAGCUGAGUCUUUACUUUGUUCUUCUCCAGCAUUGUAGCAUUUUCUAACGAAUGUUGUGUUUCAGGAUGCCCAGCACAUAGCGCUUGGCCUUGCUGAACAUCUAUAACUCUCCAUGGAAACUCUCAUAUCAGCAAGUACUCAGUUGUUCUAAUUCAUGGUGUCCAAAAGGGCACCUAAGAAUCAAAGUUCAGUUUAAAGUUUUGCCCUGUAUUAAAAAAUGAGGUUUCACAACACUCAAGCAAACAGGUUAAAGGAUCUAUUUUAUAGAAACACAAACUCCAGCCGAGAGAAAACCAUUCAUCAUUUCAAAGACUGUCAGCCAUUACUAGACACAUAUGUAAGGAUUUUUUUUAACUAAAUUCAGUAUCAAAGGCACAUGUUCUGCGUAAAUGUCAGACAUUUUUACUCAUUUUUCUACUAGAGUUCUGUGAUUAAAAUAAACAUUUACAGCAUGAGA